rnacentral:rRNA from 1 species
CCUACGGGUGGCAGCAGUGAGGAAUAUUGGUCAAUGGCCGUAAGGCUGAACCAGCCAAGUCGCGUGAAGGAAGAAGGAUCUAUGGUCUGUAAACUUCUUUUAUAGGGGAAUAAAGGUAUCCACGUGUGGAUAUUUGCAUGUACCCUAUGAAUAAGCAUCGGCUAACUCCGUGCCAGCAGCCGCGGUACUACGGAGGAUGCGAGCGUUAUCCGGAUUGAUUGGGUUUAAAGGGUGCGUAGGUUGUUUUUUAAGUCAGCGGUGAAAGUUUGUGGCUCUACCAUAAAAUUGCCGUUGAAACUGGAAGACUGGAGUGUGUUUGAGGUGAGCGGAAUGCGUGGUGUAGCGGUGAAAUGCAUAGAUAUCACGCAGAACUCCGAUUGCGAAGGCAGCUUACUAAGCCAUAACUGACACUGAUGCACGAAAGCGUGGGUAUCAAACAGGAUUAGAUACCCCUGUAGUC